rnacentral:rRNA from 1 species
UGGGGAAUAUUGGACAAUGGGCGAAAGCCUGAUCCAGCCAUGCCGCGUGAGUGAUGACGGCCCUAGGGUUGUAAAGCUCUUUCACCGGUGAAGAUAAUGACGGUAACCGGAGAAGAAGCCCCGGCUAACUUCGUGCCAGCAGCCGCGGUAAUACGAAGGGGGCUAGCGUUGUUCGGAAUAACUGGGCGUAAAGCGCGCGUAGGCGGAUUGUCUAGUCAGGGGUGAAAUCCCGGGGCUCAACCCCGGAACUGCCUUUGAUACUGGCAAUCUCGAGUCCGAGAGAGGUGAGUGGAAUUCCGAGUGUAGAGGUGAAAUUCGUAGAUAUUCGGAGGAACACCAGUGGCGAAGGCGGCUCACUGGCUCGGUACUGACGCUGAGGUGCGAAAGUGUGGGGAGCAAACAGGAUUAGAUACCCCCGUAGUCC